GACAGAGGUCCCGAGCGUUAGGCGGAAUCACUGGGCUUAAAGCGUGUGUAGGCGGAUCGUUAAGUACCUUGUGAAAUCCCACGGCUUAACCGUGGAACUGCUUGGUAUACUGGCGAUCUUGAGCCACUUAGGGGCUACCGGAACAAAUGGUGGAGCGGUGAGAUGCGUAGAUAUCAUUUGGAACGCCAAUGGUGAAAACAGGUAGCUGGGAGUGUGCUGACGCUGAGACACGAAAGCCAGGGGAGCAAACGGG
rnacentral:rRNA from 1 species